AUUGCCGACGUGGGUCAAAAUGUAGUAUCUGUUCUUAUCAGCUUAAUAUUUGAUUCGGGUUGUAUUUGUAUCCAAGAUAUUAAACUUAGUUUUGCAAGUUGGCAAGGGUGCUUGACGAGUGCUUCACCUUCGCCGCGGGUCGGCAAGGUAUUGCACCAUGUUCGGGAUUAUUGGUCUACGGACA